GCGAGACAGAAGGCUCUCAGAGUGACCAGCCAGGCGUGGGUCCCGGACAUCACUCACCAUAAGCAUCGCCUUCAGCAGGGACCCCGAUAAGUCACAGUGCCUGCUCUCCAUCGGAAUAGGCUGAUCAGCUGCCAGAAAUGCUUCAUGACUGAAUUCUGGAAUCACCAUAAGGUGGAAGCAGUUUGAGGAAAUAAUUCUGAGUGUGAAACAAGCUGAUAUUUCAUGGUAUGAAGUUACCCUGAUGUCGAUUUUUCAAGGAGACUUCAGACAAU